UACAGAGGUCUCAAGCGUUGUUCGGAUUCAUUGGGCGUAAAGGGCGCGUAGGCGGCGGGGUAAGUCGGGUGUGAAAUCUCAGAGCUCAACUCUGAAAUGGCACUUGAUACUGCUCUGCUAGAGGACUGGAGAGGAGAUUGGAAUUCACGGUGUAGCAGUGAAAUGCGUAGAUAUCGUGAGGAAGACCGGUGGCGAAGGCGGAUCUCUGGACAGUUCCUGACGGCUGAGGCGCGAAGGCCAGGGGAGCAAAAGGG
rnacentral:rRNA from 1 species